GUUGCGAAUGAUUCCAAACUUGCUUGCUGCAUGACAUCACACUAUACCACUAAGCUGUGCUCAUCUGUACUGUUUUCCUAUCUAUACAACGGCUGCGGUUUUAAGGUGUAUUGUCUUGGCCUCUUUUCACAGCAGCAUUCACUGUUUUGAAUUCACUGUGGAUGAAAAGCGAGACCAUCUCUCCAUUCUAGUGUAUCCACAAGGCCUAGUAGGGGCCUAUGCCUAUAGGCUAUAGCACCAUGAUAAACGACUUUGGGCCUAGCCUAGGAAGAGACACAAAAUAUCAGCACAAAAUAUCAAGGGACCAUACUUACAGCCAGGACACCACCUUUCCAUGCAUCUCCGUUUAAUGUGUUUCCAUCUUGGAUUAUCCUCAUUCCUCUUGCUGGCUUCUUUAAUUGGUUUUUCACUUCACCGCAUCAAUGUAAGUAUCAUUUAAUUGUAAGCAUUCUAGAUCCUUUAAAGUCAUAAAUCAGCAGUCAUCUGCAGUUGCUGCUGUCUUCUCUCCUUGAGAACGUAAGUAUCGUUCAAUAAGUUCAAUUUUAGUGCCUAAUGCCCCCAGGUGGGGGGGGGGGGCAUAGACACUAUGUUAUCAUCUGGCAGUAGUAAGAAGUUGAAAGUGCAUACAUAAGAAAUAGAAAUGAUGUAAUAUAGAGAGCCUUCGGUGUUAGUUUCCUACUUGGAUAACGCGCAUGCGUAACCCUGUUUACGUCUCUGAUCGAUCCAUUUCGCUAAGCAAUUGUAGCUAGAAUAUUAAUAGGAAUGAUAGAAUUUUCAAUGAUUCUAAGCCUGAUAAACUAUAGAAUUGCGAAGGUUUUGAGUAUUUCGAUAAACAGCUUGUGCACUUCUUCAGAUGAACUGUGUGCACGAAAGCUAGUUUACUGUCAAA